UACGUAGGGUGCAAGCGUUAAUCGGAAUUACUGGGCGUAAAGCGUGCGCAGGCGGUUUUGUAAGUCAGAUGUGAAAUCCCCGGGCUUAACCUGGGAACUGCAUUUGUGACUGGCGAGCUAGAGUAUGGCAGAGGGGGGUAGAAUUCCACGUGUAGCAGUGAAAUGCGUAGAGAUGUGGAGGAAUACCGAUGGCGAAGGCAGCCCCCUGGGCCAAUACUGACGCUCAUGCACGAAAGCGUGGGGAGCAAACGAAGGAUUAGAAACCGUUGU
rnacentral:rRNA from 1 species